rnacentral:tRNA from 2 species
GCUCUCGUAGCGCAGUGGAUCAGAGCGUUCGCCUCCGGAGCGAAAGGUCGUGGGUUCGAACCCCACCGAGAGCACCA